rnacentral:tRNA from 1 species
GUGGUUGUAGCUCAGUUGGUUAGAGCGCUGGAUUGUGGUUCCAGAGGUCGCCGGUUCAAAUCCGGUCUUCCACC